rnacentral:lncRNA from 1 species
AAAAACUACAAUCUCGAGGAACACGAAAUAACUGCCAAACCUGCAUAAAAUCAAAAUACUCAAAGGCAAGACCAUUUUAAGUAAAAUGAUGAUCCACACUUCAAUAUGAGAUGUGAUAAAGAAUUGAGACAAGGCAGAUGUUGAAUAAUACCAAGAAUUAGAGAAUAUGCUAGUAAUAACACUAGAAAUUUGAGACUGAACAAAUGCACUAUGUAGCCAAUCUAACACUCCUAAAUCUGAAGCAAAAACAAUAUACCAUUUACUAUUAGUAAUCUUAAAUAAAAGCGCGCAAUCUUCACUUCCACCGCUCCUUCAGAUUGUAAUUCUGUGUACACGCAUUUCCAGAAAUACAGUUGUACAAAAUCCAUCACCUCUGCUUUAAUAAGCGAAGAAACUCAACAUCAAUUAAACUGUUAGCUUGCAAACCAAAAGAAGGAAGGGAAAACAACAGGAUUAUUUAUACAACCACAUUAAGAAGUCAGGUAAUUAUUGAAUUAGACAUCAAGGCAGCAAUGAAAGUCAAAUGACAAAGUAAUAAAACACACAACAAAAAAUGUGUCAAAUGAAAUUCAAAUGAUAAAAUAACAAAACACACAUCACAGAACUAAGUACUAUAGCAGUAGUAGUUGAGGCCAUACAAACCUGUCAACUAAACUUUGUAGAAUCAUUUCAUACCAUAAGUGCAAACCUAACCACUAGUAAUGUUGUCUACACUCAAGACAUUCCAUUUCUUAUGCUCAUUCAGUCAAUGCCCAAUUUUAUCUUACAGUGAAUGCACCAACACUCAUUGAAGGAUAAAAGCUAUGGAGAAGACCAUAUACCUGGUAUAGUUAAGAGUUUGCUUUAGUCAGGUUUAUAAGAUUACCAAAUGUUGGGCACCAUCUGUAAUUAAGAGUACAAAUCUUCAAGCUCUACACAUAUCUAACUCUGCACCAGUUUCUAAUAUAAAUAAAUAAAACAGAGUAAAGGGCAGGAAAAAUAUAUUUUUACAACUUGUUUAGAUGGAGGUAUUUAGUACAUAACAUCCCGAACAUGGUGGCAUGUACUGAGAACAAGAAAUUCAUCAUCAAAUUGUGAUAUAUAUUAAAUUGAGCAAAGAUCAUGGGGCAUAAAUUUCAUCAACUUAUUGUGUUGAAAUCGAUAUGAUGGCAAUUUUCACCACAUAACACAGAGAAAGUUUGCACAUAAUAUAUAACAAAGAAGUAGUGUAAUAGCAGGCCUAGUUAACAAUCAAUCUACUCUUGGUAGAUGGAUUCAGUGAGAUUAAUGAAUUACUUUCUCUCCAUAAAGAAGAAAAAUCGAAGGAACCAACAGGAGCAUCUCAUGAGCAUUUAAUUAUUAAACUAGUAGUUGCUUAACUAAUUAGCCGAUCUCACAAAUUCUACACUACUAGUGCUCACACAGUAAGAAAAGAAAAUAGCCAGCAUUAAGAAGUGUUGUGCUCAUGAAGUAUCUCAACCAAAAAAAGUUCGAGAGCUGGAUUCCAAAUUAUCUUCUUCAGUGACACAGGGACAUAAGCAUGGACUGAAUUUUAUGUUAGAAGAACAAGCAUGAAUUACGUGUAUUUUCAGUCAAGUUUACUUCCAGCAAUCAUAAUUCACAAAUGUAAAUUGAAAGAGUGCCAUAGCAGAACAUAAGGGCAAAUAGAUGUUUGAGUAAAGUGUAUGCAUAACAUAAAGAGCAUGUGCAGGAAAGGGCAGUGUAGAUACAAUCACCAAGUAAAAAAUGUUUUUGGUCCAUGUGAGAUGUGCAAAUUAUGUAGGCAAGGGCAGUGCAGACAUCACUAAGUAAAAAAUGUUUUUAGUUGUACAAAGACCAUUAGAUGCCCUGACUCGUAUGGGAUCCAUCACCAUUAUGUGCAUGCAGAAGAUUGGACACUAUGCAGUAAAAUGAACCUGACACUGGAAAACCUGAAUAUUCAGUGCACUAUCCAAACUUCAUAGAUAUUCAAGAAUGGCGUGCUUGGCGAGCUCACCGGGGAUGAUGAGGCGGACGGAGGACGUGGAAGGUGGCAGGCAUGGCACUUUUUUCUCAACAAAAUACAUUCAAUAAAAUUGCAGAUAAGAAAUAGCAUGUACCUACAGAAUCUGCAGAUAUCAGUUUUUCUUCAUUUGGAUAAUGGUAUGAAUUUCUCAAUUGUAAAAGCUGGCAGAUAAAUGUUGUAUGCAAUUACUAUUCAAAAAAUCAGACAACAUACAUCGGACUUCUGAAUUAGCAGUGUACAACUACAAUCCUGAACAGCAACAAGAACAGAAAUUAAACCUAAUACUUUUUGUUUCCAGUACAAAAGAUGAAUGUGCGGCACAAUGUAAUUAGGAAGGAAGCAGAACAACCUACAUCUACAAAGCACAAAUAAUCAGUAAUGAACAAGCAGCCCAGGAAGUGGUGCUCGUGCCUUCUGCUAUUCGUUUUAAAGACGGACAUGGCAGAUGCCCAAAUUUCUUGCUUGUACCGAUUCAGCCUGGCCAACGAGGCCUGCAGCUGUCCUCUACCAAGGACGGCUACAUCCAUCCAUGGAGAUGAACAGAGGGGAGCGGGAGGGUAAGGGACGAUGCGGAUGUACGUACUUGGUCUUUCCGGCCGGAGAAAGUGAAAAGCGGCGAGUGGAGGCUACUCACCACGGAUGGAGAAGACGGCCGCAACGACGAGGGGACCGAUGGUGGCAUGGCUGACGGAUAACUGGACCCAGCCACAAGGGCUGUACUUUGGAUCUGUGGCGGUGUCGCCACAUCAUGUAACUCACCUCGGCACGCCGCCACCAUGGAUCUCGCAUCUUCGCGGACGCCGCC